ACGCUGGCGGCGUGCCUAAUACAUGCAAGUAGAACGCUGAAGAGAGGAGCUUGCUCUUCUUGGAUGAGUUGCGAACGGGUGAGUAACGCGUAGGUAACCUGCCUUGUAGCGGGGGAUAACUAUUGGAAACGAUAGCUAAUACCGCAUAACAAUGGGUGACACAUGUCAUUUAUUUGAAAGGGGCAAUUGCUCCACUACAAGAUGGACCUGCGUUGUAUUAGCUAGUAGGUGAGGUAACGGCUCACCUAGGCGACGAUACAUAGCCGACCUGAGAGGGUGAUCGGCCACACUGGGACUGAGACACGGCCCAGACUCCUACGGGAGGCAGCAGUAGGGAAUCUUCGGCAAUGGGGGCAACCCUGACCGAGCAACGCCGCGUGAGUGAAGAAGGUUUUCGGAUCGUAAAGCUCUGUUGUAAGUCAAGAACGAGUGUGAGAGUGGAAAGUUCACACUGUGACGGUAGCUUACCAGAAAGGGACGGCUAACUACGUGCCAGCAGCCGCGGUAAUACGUAGGUCCCGAGCGUUGUCCGGAUUUAUUGGGCGUAAAGCGAGCGCAGGCGGUUUGAUAAGUCUGAAGUUAAAGGCUGUGGCUCAACCAUAGUUCGCUUUGGAAACUGUCAAACUUGAGUGCAGAAGGGGAGAGUGGAAUUCCAUGUGUAGCGGUGAAAUGCGUAGAUAUAUGGAGGAACACCGGUGGCGAAAGCGGCUCUCUGGUCUGUAACUGACGCUGAGGCUCGAAAGCGUGGGGAGCGAACAGGAUUAGAUACCCUGGUAGUCCACGCCGUAAACGAUGAGUGCUAGGUGUUGGAUCCUUUCCGGGAUUCAGUGCCGCAGCUAACGCAUUAAGCACUCCGCCUGGGGAGUACGACCGCAAGGUUGAAACUCAAAGGAAUUGACGGGGGCCCGCACAA
rnacentral:rRNA from 1 species